rnacentral:lncRNA from 1 species
CUUGGCACAGCAGAAGGAACAGAUUCACUUGGGACUGGAAUCUGGUUCUGCCACUUGCCGGCUCUGUGACUUUAGGCAAGCGACUUCACAUUCCUCAGCCAAUUUCAUCCGUGAAAAGAAAACCAGAAGAGCAAGAUGUUGGAGAAUUAAUAUCUGCUAGAGAAAUAUGCAUCUCAGCCUGGACUAAUUGGUGCCUGGAACAUGAUGGUAGGUCUCCUACUCACAAAUUGGAUGGUGAUGGAAAGGCCAUCCUGAUGAGCCUUCCAAAAGUUUUGUCAGAAGACAGAGUGAUGUUGGAUAACACUACUGAGCCACAACUUCCAUCCACGCAAGACUUAAUAUAUUUCCUGGGACAAAAGUACCUAGGAAACCAAAAGCCUUUCACCUUAUCCCUUGAAGCUAAUUUCCCUUUGGCUGACACUGUGCAGCAAAGUGUAUUAAUAUCCAUGAUGGGUGAUCAGCCUUCAAUAAAUAAUGCUGGUUGUUCUAAUGUAC